UACGAAGGGUGCAAGCGUUACUCGGAAUUACUGGGCGUAAAGCGUGCGUAGGUGGUGAGUUAAGUCUGUCGUGAAAGCCCCGGGCUCAACCUGGGAAUGGCGAUGGAUACUGGCUCGCUAGAGUGCGGUAGAGGAGAGUGGAAUUCCCGGUGUAGCAGUGAAAUGGCGUAGAGAUCGGGAGGAACAUCAGUUGCGAAGGCGGCUCUCUGGACCAGCACUGACACUGAGGCACGAAAGCGUGGGGAGCAAACAGG
rnacentral:rRNA from 1 species